UGCGCAGGCGGUUAUGUAAGACAGUUGUGAAAUCCCCGGGCUCAACCUGGGAAUUGCAUCUGUGACUGCAUAGCUAGAGUACGGUAGAGGGGGAUGGAAUUCCGCGUGUAGCAGUGAAAUGCGUAGAUAUGCGGAGGAACACCGAUGGCGAAGGCAAUCCCCUGGACCUGUACUGACGCUCAUGCACGAAGCGUGGGGAGCAAACAGGAUUAGAUACCCUGGUAGUCCACGCCCUAAACGAUGUCAACUGGUUGUUGGGUGCAUUAGUACUCAGUAACGAAGCUAACGCGUGAAGUUGACCGCCGUGGGGAGGUACGGCCGCGAAGGUUGAA
rnacentral:rRNA from 1 species